AGGAGCCGGAUGAGAAGAAACUCUCACGUCCGGUUCUGUAGUAGAGAUGGAAGAGCAAAAAAUUACUUUAGGUCCUUAACGGAAAAGAGAUGAAUACUUUGAGUGCUUGGAAGGUAGUUAACUCUUGAU
rfam:Beta vulgaris subsp. vulgaris chromosome 8, whole genome shotgun sequence.